UUUUCUCGUUUUUUUUCUCUACAUUAUAUUGAAAUGUUUCAUUAUUGCAAACAUUUUCUCUCAGGCGGAGAGAGGUCGUGGAGUGUCAGCCUAUGGUAUCUGAGGUCCAGGAGAGAUGACCUGCGCUGUUUUCCUCUGAGGAGAUAUCUGAAAAUUUCAUCGGAUCACAAGCAAAGACCUCCUGGGGACCUUCAAUGCAUCCCUUGACAAAUUUGUGCCUGGCCUGCUGAAACUGUACUGGUCUAAGAAGGGAGUUCUUUGUGAGGAGAUGGAAGACCUCCUGGAUAAACUUGAUGAACAGACAUCCAACACUGUGUCCAACGGGCACUGAGAGGCCUGCCCAUUUUCCUCAAGAGAAGAUGCAACAGAGGUUUUCCUGAAGUGCUUAGACACUGACAUUUUGGAACCAGUGUUGAACGGUGCAUCAGUUGCCAUCCUCACCAUCCUACAAGAUGACGAUGCUGAUACGUCUGUGCGAGAA